rfam:Heterocephalus glaber contig204090, whole genome shotgun sequence.
UGAGGUGUAGCUCAGUGGUAGAGAACUCACCUAGCAUGUGGGAGGUCCUGGGUUCAAUUCCCAGCACCACAA